CAGUUAAAUAAAAAAACUCAAAACCGAUUAAGAAUAAGAGUACACACGGAUCCAAACCCUUUGAUAAAUUACUGAAUUUAAUGUUAUUCAGGGUAACCGGAAAAAAUGCAAUAGAUUUUUACCAGAUUUUUACACAGAUAAUCUAAGAGAUGGGUAUUUAAAGUAAGAGGUCAUCAAACCUAUUAUACCUUACCCAACUGAUGCAAUUUCAAUUGUCCAUUGGGUGAACCAGACUUUAUUUUAAAACAAACCAUAACAUUCGUUCUACUAGACUGAUUUUAAUAAUCUUAGUGUCAAAAUUCAUCUUUCACAUUAAAUUUUAGAUGCCCACUAAUAAUGGGCGGUGUAAAAAUCUGGAACACUCACCUACUUCAUUUUUUCCGGAACACAAGACAGUAUUCUUAUAUCUUCUAAAAUCAUGAAUAACCCCAAGAA
rnacentral:lncRNA from 1 species